AAUGUUUUUAAUUUAAUUUUUAUAAUUUGUGUUUUCUUUCUUUCAUAUCUCUUAAUUUUAUGUACCUUGUGUCUUGUAUAUAAGAUUAUUUGACCAGGAGAAGGGAAAGGGAAUCACAGAAACAGUAGGUCAAAGGACAAACUAAUGCAAGAGUGACACUCACUUGACAAUAGGUUAUCAAUCUUACAACUGGGGGGAGCAUAUAGAGGGUUGAGCAGAAGAAAAUGAGGGAUGGAGUAACACUGUUUAAAAGCAAAUAUAAUCAUUCCUUUUUUAAUGUAACUGUAGCCACCUCCCCACUCAUCACCUUAUCAAUAAAUA